UACGGAGGGGGCGAGCGUUGUUCGGAAUUAUUGGGCGUAAAGGGUGCGUAGGCGGUUUGGUAAGUCUUGUGUGAAAUCUUCGGGCUCAACUCGAAGUCUGCACGAGAAACUGCCGGGCUUGAGUAUGGGAGAGGUGAGUGGAAUUCCGGUGUAGCGGUGAAAUGCGUAGAUAUCGGGAGGAACACCUGUGGCGAAAGCGGCUCACUGGACCAUAACUGACGCUGAGGCACGGAAAGCUAGGGGAGCAAACAG
rnacentral:rRNA from 1 species